UGAAUACCAGACGCUACGGCGUCGAAGCAGUCUAUGUCAUACUUCCAAGAAAAGCUUGCACUGUCAUAAACAAAGAAUGCCUGUACCAUAACCGACACAGGUGGGUAGGUAGAGUAUACUAAGGGGCGCGAGAUAACUCUCUCUAAGGAACUCGGCAAAAUGACUCCGUAACUUCGGGAGAAGGAGUGCCUUCGUCAGAAGGUUGCAAUAACAAGAUCCAAGCAACUGCUUAUCAAAAACACAGGUCUCCGCUAAGUCGUAAGACGACGUAUGGGGGCUGACGCCUGCCCAGUGCCAGAAGGUUAAAGAAGUUGGUUAGCCUUUGCGAAGCUGAUAACUGAAGCCCUGGUGAACGGCGGCCGUAACAAUAACGGUCCUAAGGUAGCGAAAUUCCUUGUCGGGUAAGUUCCGACCCGCACGAAAGGCGUAAUGAUUUGGAUACUGUCUCGGAGAGGGGCUCGGUGAAAUAGACUGGUCUGUGAGGAUGCGGACUACCUGCACCUGGACAGAAAGACCCUAUGAAGCUUUACUGUAACUUGAAAUUGAAAUUGGACUUUAUUCGCGCAGCAUAGGUGGGGGGCAUUGAAAAUAGUCUUGCGGGAUUAUUGGAGCCAUCAGUGAGAUACCACUCUUGUAAUGUUAGAUUUCUAACUUUGGAUCAUGAUCUGGUCAAAGAACAGUUUCAGGCGGGCAGUUUGACUGGGGCGGUCGCCUCCCAAAUGGUAACGGAGGCGCACAAAGGUUUCCUCUGAACGGGUAGAAAUCGUAUCUAGAGUGUAAAAGCAUAAGGAAGCUUGACUGUGAGACCUACAAGUCGAGCAGGGACGAAAGUCGGUUUUAGUGAUCUGACGGUGCUGAGUGGAAAAGCCGUCACUCAACGGAUAAAAGUUACUCUAAGGAUAACAGGCUGAUCUCCCCCAAGAGUUCACAUCGACGGGGAGGUUUGGCACCUCGAUGUCGGCUCAUCGCAUCCUGGGGCGGUAGUACGUCCCAAGGGUUGGGCUGUCCGCCCAUGAAAGCGGUACGCGAGCUGGGUUCAGAACGUCGUGAGACAGUUCGGUCCAUAUCCGGUGUAGGCGUUAGAAUAUUGAGAGGAGCCUUCUCUAGUACGAGAGGACCGAGAAGGACAUACCUCUGGUGUACCAGUUAUCGUGCCAACGGUAAACGCUGGGUAGCUAUGUAUGGAGAGGAUAACCGCUGAAAGCAUCUAAGUGGGAAGCCCACCUCAAGAUAAGUAUUCUCGU
rnacentral:rRNA from 1 species